AGGGCGCCCACAUAUUCUUACUAGUUAAUACUGUCGUGCACAAAUGGUUAUAUUAUGCUUGUCUUGUUCUGCCUUCUUUUUCUUGUCCUAGACGAACCUAAAUUAAAUCUCUUUGGUCCUUAGUUACAUCACUAUCCACGUAAGAGUUAGAGAGAAGAAUGAUAACUUCUGCAGACCAAUAUUAUAUUUAGGGGCUAAAAGAAAAAGGGAAGUUUUUUGAGAUACCUAAGGCCGUAUUUAGCAAUAAAUAAAAUGGGGGUAAAUUAUGAAAAAUUAAGGUUCAUAUCUCAGUACACACAGGAAAAAAAGUGAUUUCUUACCUCACUCGAAGCUUUGGCGGACAGAGUUGCUCCUUAUUUGAAUUAGGGAAAUAGUAAAAUCUGAUGAAAUAGUUGAAGUGUGUGCAAAUUCCGAACAAUACAACCAUUGUCAGAGAACAGUAAAAAUAGUGUUCGAGUCUUAAUCACUUCUGUUGUUUGAAAGUUGAUUUGUUAUUCCCUCACAAUGGAGUUGACAAAAAUACAGUGGAUAAAACCAUAACAUAGAAAGUGAAACAGCUAACAGCCUAAUAUAGACAAAUAAUAUAAUAUUAACUAACCGUGUAGUUUUGAAAUUUGGUUAGAUGAACGCAUUUGCCUGACUUAAGUUAUGUCAUUUUCCACGGUUAAUGCAGCUCCAUGUCUCACAUUCAAUCGUCAUCUGCAACUGCAAGCAAGUUCAGAUUUUUGGAUCUCCCCAAUGACUUUUACUGAUUUCCAUAGAAACAGUAUAUUGAAACAGCAGCCUAACUGCAAAAAAUUAGCCAAGCAAAGAAGAAAAAUUUGAUGAAGAUAAAGUCUUUAAAGAAUUAGCUGGUAGAACUAUCAUUAUCAACUUGAGGUCUUGAACUUGUCGAUUAUGAAACCAUUUUGUUUGUAACAUCAAUUGCUCCUCAGGGUUUUAUUAGCUACAUAAGAUUUGUAAGUAACAAUAAAUUUUCCCAUGAGGUUGACGCCCUUUCUUUAUUUUAAUUUUCUCCCAUGAUCUCUAUUAUCUUUUUUAAUCAUUUUCAAACUGGCUAUGAGAGGAGGAAAACAAAUCUAAUUCCCUCUGCAUAAUUCAUAUUACAAUCAAACAAUGUGAGAACACGUUAAUAAUAUAUGAUAAAUCUAUUGUAGACAUUACUCUUGUUGCAAGCUUCAUGCCAAAGAGGCAAAGACUAGAUAAACAAGCCCGUAAGCCCUAUCAUACAUGCCUCAGGGUGUGCAUUUAUUGUGGAGAAACAUGAUGAUAGACAUGACAAUAAGGUAAUAGCCACAUUACCUGAUCUAUUAGUCCUCCAAGCAUGCUAAUCACAGUUAGGAUGGUAAAGAAUUGGUAGACCACCUCAUCGAAUACACGUCCAUGGAAGCAAAGGAGGAUCUGGACAAUAGGAAUGAACACAGAGAGUCAGGCAGAGAUUACAUUUUGACCAGUAAUUCCUCGGUUCCCGACAACAACAUUUACAACAAACUGGUGCUAUUGGUGGCUACACAAGCCAAAAUAUCAAAUGUAGAGUUCAAUAACACAUAAUUAUAAGACAGACUGAAGCACCUUCUUUCUUCCAAAUCGGGGGUGCUAAGGAAGUACACAAGCUCCUGUUGAGAAAACUUUAGCUAAUGAGAGAAAUCAUUGAAACAGCAUAUGAAAACAAAUAAGAUAGACGCAAAUUAAUAUAUGAUCUUUCUCUUUUUUUCUUAAAUAUGGGAGUGAAUUGAAAAGACAAUUUGCUAAAUACAACCCAGUCUCGAUCCACAAAGACCACAUUAGAUGUACUUCUCCAGUUCUCUUUUUUUUUUACGUGAAGCAGUUCACUUAAAACGGCCAAUUAGGUGUAGGAUACAAAAUCCUUGGCACAAAACUCGUAAGUCUUAAGUGUGAAUUUUUCUCCCAUGAGAAAGCCCUGGAAGAUUUUUUUUUGGAAUAGUUUGAGAGUACAGCUUUUUAAAAAUAGGAAAAGCAUCAUCCACCUUUGUAACGAAAUGAAACUAACCUUGUACAAAAGGCCAUUUGAGAACCUUUCUGGUUGAUGCAUAUAACAAGGAUUUUGAGAGCUAAAUUUCAAAAUAAACAUCAACAGCCAAGAACCAAAGCUUUCAGCUGAUCCAUCACAGCGACAAGUGAGAGGUUCAGCAGAGAUCAAUAACUAAAGAGAAAAUUAUCAGUAACGCCUCAAUCCCAAAUUAGUUAGGCCAACUACAUGAAUUCUCUGUACCAAUUCCAUUCUAUUCACUUCCAUUAUCAUAAUUAGACUAUUUUAAAUUGCUCCUCAACCUGCCGUAAUAUUCCUCUUUAUCUGCGUUUUAGAAGUUGGCGUAGGAUUCAGGCGGACAAUUGUAAGGGAAACAAUGGCAAGGGUUCUGGUUAAUGGCUGUAUUCCGGAUGUAAAAGGCGUACUUAAUGAGUGGAAUGAUUCAUGGAAUUGACAUUAUUGCGCCAGAUUUAGCUACAAUCUAAUGAGAUUAAACCUCUGAAUCAUGAUAUCCAUUGAUAGAACAGGAAAAAAUAGAUGAAUAUUCAGAAAUAAAAGUCUAUAUAAAGCAAAUGAAUGCAAUCUCACAAGAAGGUAGCACAACCCUGAAGAUGCUGGGGAUUUGCAUCGUCUUCUUCCAUGAAGUUCUGCUAAAUGGAGAUGGUCCUCAACCAUAACUCCUUUGCCGGGAAAGGG
rnacentral:lncRNA from 1 species